UACGUAGGGUGCGAGCGUUAAUCGGAAUUACUGGGCGUAAAGCGUGCGCAGGCGGUUCUGUAAGCCAGAUGUGAAAUCCCCGGGCUUAACCUGGGAAUGGCAUUUGGGACUGCAAGGCUUGAGUGCGGCAGAGGAGACUAGAAUUCCUGGUGUAGCAGUGAAAUGCGUAGAUAUCAGGAGGAAUACCGAUGGCGAAGGCAGGUCUCUGGGCUGACACUGACGCUCAUGCACGAAAGCGUGGGGAGCAAACAGG
rnacentral:rRNA from 1 species